UACAGAGGUCUCAAGCGUUGUUCGGAUUCAUUGGGCGUAAAGGGUGCGUAGGUGGCCAGGUAAGUUUGGUGUGAAAGCUCGGAGCUUAACUCCGAAAAGUCAUUGAAUACUAUCUGGCUGGAGGGUCGGAGGGGAGACUGGAAUUCUCGGUGUAGCAGUGAAAUGCGUAGAUAUCGAGAGGAACACCAGUGGCGAAGGCGAGUCUCUGGACGACUCCUGACACUGAGGCACGAAAGCUAGGGGAGCAAACAGG
rnacentral:rRNA from 1 species